GCCGGUAGCUCGCUCUCUGCAACUGCCCACUGAGGCUAAGCAGGGCUGCGCCCGGUCAGUACCUGGAUGGGAGAUCACAUGAGAAAGCUAGGUUGCUGCUGGAA
rnacentral:rRNA from 1 species